AAGCCUGACGGAGCAAGACCGCGUGAGGGAAGAAGGCUUUUGGGUUGUAAACCUCUUUUAUCAGGGAAGAACACAAUGACGGUACCUGAUGAAUCAGCAUCGGCUAACUCCGUGCCAGCAGCCGCGGUAAUACGGAGGAUGCAAGCGUUAUCCGGAAUGAUUGGGCGUAAAGCGUCCGCAGGUGGCUGGGUAAGUCCGCUGUUAAAGCCAGUAGCUCAACUACUGAACAGCAGUGGAAACUACCCGACUUGAGAGCAGUAGGGGUCACGGGAAUUUCCAGAGUAGCGGUGAAAUGCGUAGAGACUGGAAAGAACACCAA
rnacentral:rRNA from 1 species